rnacentral:lncRNA from 1 species
CCAGUUAUGUCAGGGAAAUAAGGGUUUUUCCUGUAUACAAACCAAACAACUAAUAGGAAAAUAAGGGAUUUUCUCGGUACAAUUAGUUGCAAUUUACAUCACGAACAUUCAUAUGCAUUGCAUACUUUUAUAAGAAAAUAAGGGUUUUUCUGGAAAACAUGCAAACACUUUCGAAUGGCAUACAUCUUCUCAAAACACUACUUAUGAACUCACCAACUUAAAUGUUGACACUUUUUCUUUGAAAUAACUUGUAUUCACAGGAAACCGCUAGCCAGGUAGCAACUACUUCUGAAGACUAACGCAUUGGCGUUAGUAACAUAUUUUGGAUCACCAUUUUAUAUUUGAUUUCUUUUGCAAACAUGUAACACCUACAAUCAUGUAAACUUUUCAAACAUAUUUAUAUUAUGGUGGUGUGUACUUUCCUUUCUAUGAACUGUUAUGAUACUGAAUAUGACGUCCUCCGCCCCCGAACGAUUCCGCCGUUCUGGUUUGGGGGUGUGACAGAUUGGUAUCAGAGCUUCGUUUAUAGUGAAUUAAGUAUAUCAAAACCUUUUUUUUUAUACAACUAUAAACUCAACUGGGCAAAAACACUCUGAGAAGAGUCAUGCUUUUGAAAUUAAAUCUAUUUAGUUUUUGUAAGUAAGCAUGCAUUCAUUUAGUAAUAAAUAACAGUUCCACAUCGUACCAUAUUAGAAGUAUUAUUAAUGAGUUGUGCAGUACAGGUACGCCUUGGGACAUGUAAUCGGAACUGGGAAGGAUAUAGCCUGAUCAACUAUAUUUGUCCGAGAGCCGACUAACGUGUGCCGAGGGGUGUCUGCAGUGGACAACAAAUUUUAAAAACUUACCAAACCGUUAUUAGAAUCAAACACAAUAAUUUAAAUGCUAUAGGAGUAAUUGCUAUUUAAACUAACUUACAUGUUUUGCAUGUUCCGACUUUAUUCAAUUCUUAUGACCCUAUUUCUCGUACAGUCAAAUGGCUGGAUUUCACCACCCCAAUGACCCCUACUUUCCCAACCAAGGCAACGGAGGAUGGAUCGAAGAUGAUCCAGAAGAGGAUGAGGAACCCAUAGAAUUGGGUGAUGACUCCGGUACUGACUCAGAACCUGAAGUGAUCGAUCCACCACCCAUUCAACCUCCUGUCCAUGUGAGGAACUUCCAAGGACCCACUCCCGUCUGGGGAAGUCACCUACAUCAUUGGAGCCAACAACAAGGCAUACGCCCUCCCUACGGCAUGUGUCGGGACUUCUACGAUGUCCGCGGUGGCAGUUCGGCUGAUCGAGCACUCCCGGUAAUGGUUGGUAAGUUAGCCAAUCAGUCCUAUCAGUCCGGAGUACAAGCAAGCCGACUCCGGGAUAUCAACGUGGAAGUGCAGGUUCACACUUCCGAUAUCCGUAGACUGGACAAGAUACAAGAUAAUGUCCAACUCCAGUCUGAGGCAUUUCAGGCACAGAUAAUUGCAGCCCUAGCCGAGUUAAGGGAGCAACAAGCCGCUUUUGAUCGACGCCUAAUGGAAUCGAAGCAAUCAGAUGCGGAGUCAAGCUCCAAGCGCAACCUACGUCGCAAGUAGUGCCUGCCAGGAUUUCAAAUUUUGUUAUAAAUUAGGACUUCGGAUAAGAAUUUCCUUUUCGUUAAAACUUUCUGUAAUCGGAGACCUUUAGAAAGGUCAAAAAGUUUUGUCUAAACUCGGAUGUAACACGACUAUAUGUUUUAUAUAUAUGGGGCAUCCCCCCCUUCUCUGAUUUUAAAUAUGUGUAUUCCGUUCAACUCAUAAGUGCAUCCAUUCAAACGUUAUUAAUAAAUCAAGCUCAAAACCCAUUGUUGAUCAAACCAAAUUCUUAAUCUAUUUAAGGCAGUUAACUCAAUAUCAUUCAACUUUGAACUGCCAAAACUUAUAAUUUUCUUCCAUAUUUUUCUUUUGGCAGCAAGAUGCCUCCUCGUCCAAACUUAAGGCCCAGGCCGGGCACGGCACCACCACCACCUCCACCACCAGCUUAUGAUCCGGCCAUGGUUCAGGCUGCUAUCACAGCAGCGGUAACCGCAGCCCUCUCGCAAAUAAACUCUCAAGGGAAUGGAGGGGCGGGAAGCAGCACGAAUCAUCCAAAUCAUGGCACUGGUCAUGGCCAAGGAAGAGAAUGUACCUACAAGGAGUUCUCUAACGCUAAACCAAAAACUUUUAAUGGAACAGGAGGAGUCAUUGCACUAAUGCAAUGGUUCGAAAAGACCGAAACGGUCUUCGAGAUCUGCUCGUGCCAAGAAACAAGCAAGGUUAAGUUCGCUGCUUGCACCUUCAUAGAUCGAGCCCUCACUUGGUGGAAAAGCCAUGUGAACUCAGUGACGCUCACUGUCGCUAACGCCAUGAGUUGGGAAGAACUGAAGGUACUACUACUGGAAGAAUACUGCCCAAGGGGUGAAGUGCAAAAGCUUGAGCAGGAACUCUGGAAUUUGAAAAUGGUCGGGUCUGACCUAGUCGCUUACACAGCUAGGUUCAACGAUCUCGCUGCUUUGUGCCCUACCAUGGUCAACCCAGAAUCAAAGAAGGUCGAAAGGUACAUUUGGGGGUUGUCACCCCAGAUUCAAGGGCAUGUCCUAGCCUCCAACCCUAUCACCUACAACAGCGCUAAACGCCUGGCGCAACGACUCAUCGAUCACGGAGCGAAACAGAGUACCAUCACAACAGCCGCAAAUCCACCUAGGGAGGCUCAGGGACAGAGUAGGCCUUGGAACAAGAGGAGGGGACAAAUCCUCCAGGAGAACCCCAAGAAACAACAAGUGAUAGCGACCCACGCUAUUACUGUACCUACCAACUCUGCCCCCACAAGUUCAUACAAUGGAAAGCUACCGAAAUGUAACCAGUGCAACUUCCACCAUCACGGUCUCUGUCAUGGCCUUCAAUGCACCAGGUGCAAUAAGAAGGGUCAUACAGCCCGCUAUUGCAAGGAGCCAACCCAACAAUCCGCCCCCACUGCUAAUACCGGAGUAAGCCGCGCUUGCUUUGAGUGCGGGAGCACAGGGCACUACCGCAAGGACUGCCCGAAGGCAAACAACAGGAAUACCGGCGGAAGAGGCCGAGUUUUCGCAAUGGGACAAGAUGAAGCCAUUGCGGACCCUACUGUUGUUACGGGUACGUUUCUUCUCGAUAACUCGUAUGCAUGCAUUUUGUUUGAUAGUGGAGCGGAAAGGAGUUUUGUGAGUCACGACUUUAAAAGCAUGCUAAAACCAAUACCACAAUCAUUAAGUGAACCGUUCAUAGUAGAAAUGGCCAACGGGAAAACUGAAGGCACUAAAGAGAUAUACUUAAACUGCACCCUAACUCUAAACGAUAAUCCCUUUCAAAUCAACCUCAUGCCAGUCUCGAUUAAGAGUUUCGAUGUCAUCAUUGGCAUGGAUUGGCUGAGUUCACAUCGUGCGGACAUUCUAUGUUACGAUAAGGCCGUUCGCCUUAAUCUGCCAACCGGCGAAACCUUCCUUGUCUUGGGCGACAAACCUAGUACCACUCUUAGAAUCAUCUCAAGUAUCCAAGCUCAGAAGCACUUACGAAAGGAGUGUCACGCAUUUCUUGCACAUGUUGUAGACGUGAAACGCGAAGUCCGGGACAUCAAGGAUGUGCCCGACGUAUGCGAUUUUCCCGAUGUGUUUCCCGAGGACCUUCCAGGGAUACCACCCGUAAGACAAGUCGAAUUCAGAAUCGAUCUGAUUCCCGGAGCUACCCCAGUAGCCAAAGCACCCUAUCGAUUAGCCCCGGCAGAGAUGCAGGAGCUAUCCAGUCAACUGAAUGAACUACUGGGAAAAGGAUUCAUCAGACCGAGCUUCUCACCAUGGGGAGCACCCGUGUUGUUUGUGAAAAAGAAAGAUGGAUCGUUCAGAAUGUGCAUCGACUACAGAGAACUCAACAAACUGACGGUCAAGAAUCGUUAUCCUCUACCGCGCAUAGAUGAUCUAUUCGACCAACUGCAAGGGGCGAACUAUUUUUCUAAGAUUGAUCUGAGAUCCGGGUAUCACCAGUUACGAGUGCUAGAGGAGGAUGUGCCGAAGACCGCCUUCCGAACUCGUUACGGACAUUACGAGUUCGUGGUGAUGCCAUUCGGAUUGACCAAUGCGCCCGCAGUCUUCAUGGAUCUGAUGAAUAGAGUAUGCCGACCUUACUUGGAUCAGUUCGUCAUCGUUUUCAUUGACGACAUCCUGAUCUACUCCCGAAGUAAGAAAGAACAUGGCGAUCAUCUGCGACAAGUUCUAGGGAUAUUACGAAAAGAGAAACUUUAUGCGAAGUUCUCGAAAUGUGAAUUUUGGAUCCGAAGAGUCGAAUUCUUAGGACACGUGGUAAGCGAAGAGGGAAUCCACGUGGACCCAUCCAAAAUUAAGGCCAUUGAGAACUGGUCAGCACCGAAGACUCCUACAGAAAUUCGCCAAUUUCUAGGUCUCGCUGGCUACUACCGCAGGUUCAUUCAGAACUUCUCACGAAUAGCGAAGCCUCUUACAACCCUAACCCAGAAAGGUGUGGCCUUUGACUGGGAAGAGAAACAAGAAAGAGCGUUCCAAACGCUCAAACGAGCCUUGUGCACCGCACCAAUACUAUCCCUUCCCGAAGGAAUAGAAGACUUCGUAGUUUAUUGCGAUGCAUCAAACCAAGGACUCGGAUGUGUUCUGAUGCAGCGAGGUAAGGUCAUCGCCUACGCCUCGAGACAGUUGAAAACACAUGAGGUUAACUACACGACCCACGAUCUUGAGCUAGGAGCAGUAGUGUUUGCCCUGAAGAUCUGGAGACAUUACUUGUAUGGAACGAAGAGCACUAUCUUUACCGACCACAAGAGCUUACAACACAUUUUCGAUCAGAAGGAGCUCAACAUGAGACAACGGCGAUGGGUCGAGCUACUCAGUGAUUACGAAUGCGAUAUUCGCUAUCAUCCGGGAAAGGCAAACGUCGUAGCCGAUGCCCUUAGUCGAAAGGAGUACUCAGGCCGGAGAGUGAAGUCAUUAGCUAUGUCGAUCCAUUCGCACCUAUCAACGCAAGUCAAGGAAGCUCAAUUAGAGGCCUUGAAACCCGAAAACGUGGCAGGUGAGGCCCUUAGGGGAAUGGACAAGAACUUAGAAAUCAAGAGUGACGGAGCACGCUACCUCAUGAACCGGAUCUGGACACCAAAGUUUGGGGGAUUCAGAGAGGUAGUUAUGAGCGAGGCACACAGGACCCCAUACUCCGUACACCCAGGGUCAGACAAGAUGUAUCUAGAUCUCAAGCAACUCUACUGGUGGCCAAACAUGAAAGCGGAGAUCGCUACGUAUGUGGGCAAGUGUUUAACUUGCGCCAAAAUAAAAAUAGAACACCAAAAACCCUCAGGCCUACUCCAACAACCUGAAAUACCUGAGUGGAAAUGGGAGCAGAUUUCCAUGGACUUCAUAACCAAACUGCCCAAAACUCAGAGUGGCCAAGAUACUAUUUGGGUAAUCGUCGACAGAUUAACCAAGUCAGCCCAUUUCUUACCUAUCAAGGAAACCGAUAGGAUGGAAAAACUAUCAAGAACCUACAUCCGGGAGAUCGUACGACUUCAUGGAGUACCAAUGUCCAUCAUCUCAGAUAGAGACAGCAGGUUCACUUCCAGAUUUUGGCAAUCACUGCAAAAAUCCAUGGGAACAAGGUUGGACAUGAGUACAGCAUACCACCCUCAAACUGACGGACAGAGUGAGAGGACGAUCCAAACCUUGGAAGACAUGUUGCGAGCAUGUGUAAUCGACUUUGGCAAGGCAUGGGAUAUUCACUUGCCUUUGGUCGAGUUCUCUUAUAACAAUAGUUAUCAUACUAGUAUCAAGACCGCUCCGUUCGAAGCCCUUUACGGCCGUAAGUGCAGAUCACCCCUGUGCUGGACGGAAGUGGGCGACACCCAAUUGGCAAAAGGUCUAGUCACUAAAAGCACCCUUACUGGUCCAGAGAUCAUCAGAGAAACUACCGAAAAGAUCGUGCAAAUACGAGAACGACUGAAGUCCUCAAGGGAUAGGCAAAAGAGCUAUGCCGACAGGAGACGUAAACCCUUGGAAUUCCAGAUUGGCGACCGUGUGCUACUGAAGGUCUCACCCUGGAAAGGCAUGAUACGCUUUGGGAAGCGUGGAAAGCUAAAUCCCAGGUACAUUGGACCCUUCGAAAUCAUUUCGAGAGUUGGUCCAGUGGCCUACAAACUCCAACUUCCAAUCGAGCUUAACAAAGUGCAUCCAGUAUUCCACGUGUCGAACCUGAAAAAGUGUUUGUCCGACGAAACACUUGUAAUUCCACUCGAUGAAAUCGCGUUAAACGAAAAUCUCAACUUUGUGGAAGAACCCGUCGAGAUCAUGGAUAGGGAAGUUAAAAGGACCAAGCAGAGUCGCAUUCCAAUAGUAAAAGUUCGAUGGAAUGCUAAGAGAGGACCCGAAUUCACAUGGGAACGGGAAGACCAAAUGCUACAGAAGUAUCCGCAUCUCUUCCUCAGCCCCUAAAACUCUUACCUUGUAUUAAAUUUCGGGACGAAAUUCCGUUUAACGGGGGGAUGAUGUAACAACCCGUUAUCCCGGGCAUUAUAAACCGAGUCUUGUAACCCCUUUUGAAUGUAAUGGGAAUAUCAUCGAUAAAUGAAUUGUUCAAAAGCUCUGAUUUGGAGUACGCUAUGUAGUAGAUAUCGUCUUAAAGGUUCCAAAUAAAUAAAGAAACACUAAAAUCUGAGUUAUGGCGAAGAAGCUAUGACCAUUCUAAGAUUUCUGUCAAAACCGACAACACCGAUCAAACGAAAAACGCAAAGUUUCAAUACGAUAACAUUUAGCCUUAGGUAUCUAAAUGAAAGUCAUAGAUAACAUUAAACCGUGAGCGUACACAAAAAGAACGUCCAAAUCUGACUUCGCAUGAGGAAGUUAUGAUUUUUCAAAGAAAUUCCUUAAAAACGAUUAGUUAUAAAAUAAAUAAUAAAAAUAAUUUUGGAAUUUGCCAACGGAGUCUAAACGAAAGUUGUAGAUCGUAGUCUCACCUACGCGUGGAUAUAAAGACCAUCGAAAACGGAGUUCGUAUGAAGAAGAUAUGGAUUUUUGAAGUUUAUUAAAUAAAUUAAUUAUUUAUUUAAUUCAAAAUUCGGAUAUUAUCCGAAGAGGAGUCAGCGUCCUUCUCCGAAGUACGCGCUGCGUACUCCUGUACGCCCCGCGUAACCGAGAGGAUUGGCCUCGGAUCGUCCACGUCGCCAUAUCCGAGGAAUCCGACCCGUCCGACCCGUCCGACCCGACGUCCCAUCCGACCCGGCGUCCCAUCCGACCCACCUCCCCAGCAACCCGUCCCAUCCGACCCGAUAACCCAAGAACCCGUCCCAUCCGAACCGAGGCAGUCGAGGCUUCGGUCAUGCAUGACGUACGCGUACGCAGCGCGUACGAGCGUACGCCCCGCGUACCGAGGCAGACUUGCCUUCCUAUAAAUAGAAUGCGAGGGUUUCCAAAGAAAGGGUUCAUUUCUCUUCUCUCUCUCUCAGCAUUUCCUCGUUUUCCGUGUCCGUUCAAACCCGAAGCUCUGGUCUUUUUGGCUCAAGUCCCGAAGGCCGAUUCUACUCCCGAGAUUCCCGAGAAUCCCAAGAAAAAUCAGUUUCCCGAGACGAAACUCUGCUCGGUUUUCCACCUCACAAUCUUCAAACUAUCAAGUGAGUUCAUAUCCCCUUUGAACACUCUUUAAAUACAUUUUAAAUGUUUUAUACUCUUUUUGGGGAGGAAUACAAGUUAACACAUGACUAAAUUCGUGUGAAACAUUAACCUUUUGAUAUACUUUUCAUACUGUUGUUUUAACUAUCUUGUGAAGUUAUUAUGAUACAAAACCCCUCACAACACAGCUUUACCCUCUUUGGGAUAUAAUAUGUUUAUAAAUAGAAAUAUGUUUUAUUUAUACGUUUACAUACAAACACAUCAUAUCAAGGGUAACAUUCUUUACUAAGUCAUUUCAUGCAUUCAAAGAACUUAUGAUUUAUGCUUUGUCAAACAUUGUGAAAGAGGUUAAACUUUGCAUACAAACUACUACUUUAAUACAGACUUAGUUGAGAAUCCAUGAGUCGUGUAUAUCUUCAAACGUUACUUUCUUUAUUAGAAAAUAAUGCUGCAAGUCCUGUCUAUAACCAGAGUCUCCCGUUCGGAGAACGUGUCAAAUGUGUAUAGAUCUAUACGGGAAGUCAUGAUCCCGCGCCCUGACUGUUAGCUACAGUCCGUCUUUUGGGGUGACAGUUGUCAUAACGCUACGACGCCUGAAGAACGUCGCUACAGGCAUAUUAUGUUUAGUAUGGUUAUAAAACUCAUCGGAUAUACAAUUAUUAUGGUAUUAUGCUUUUAUGAAAGAGUAGCUUUUAAAACUAUUCUUCAUCUAACAAAUGCGAUCUUCGUAUAGCUUUAUUAUAUAAAACUAUGCCACACCUUUCGAGCACGUCGGUUGCUUGCGAUUUUCGGUCUUAGAGACUGCCAGUUAUGUCAGGAAAAUAAGGGUUUUUCCUGUAUACAAAACAAACAACUAAUAGGAAAAUAAGGGAUUUUCUCGGUACAAAUAGUUGCAAUUUACAUCAUGAACAUCCAUAUGCAUCUCAUACUCUAAUAGGAAAAUAAGGGUUUUUCUGGAAAACAUGCAAACACUUUCGAAUGGCAUACAUCUUCUCAAAACACUACUUAUGAACUCACCAACUUAAAUGUUGACACUUUUUCUUUGAAAUAACUUGUAUUCACAGGAAACCGCUAGCCAGGUAGCAAACACAUUCUGAAGACUAACGCAUUGGCGUUAGUAACAUAUUUUGGAUCACCAUUUUAUAUUUGAUUUCUUUUGCAAACAUGUAACACCUACGAUUAUGUAAACAUUUUGGAAACUUUAAUAUAUAUAUGGUGGUGUGUACUUUCCUUUCUAUGAACUGUUAUGAUACUGAAUAUGACGUCCUCCGCCCCCGAACGUUUCCGCCGUUCAGGUUUGGGGGUGUGACAAGUGCAAACCAUCAUUUUUAGAAAUGCUAGUGUUAUCCUGGGAAAAUCCUAC